CUUCCUCCACGUGCAACCAAACACUGCAGUAGAUUGUUUUUGCCACUCUGCUGGAGGAGAGGCGGUACUUGCGGCUCGGAGGAAUUAGGCGUGCCCUAGGUUAAGCAAUAUUUUCUUCUUCGGAUUCCUCAGGUCAACAGAUUUGAUUUCAUUUUAGAUGCCUUAGGAGAAGAUGCUCUAGGAAGAAAAACAUGUAGAACGAUUUAAUCGCAUGGAUAAUGUGCAAAGUUAUGUUAUGAAUGAAAAGAAAAGAUAGCGAGUUUCAUAUAGUCGCACACUUGUCCUUACAAGUUUGUAUUCAAAGACAGGUGGCUGUGCUUGGAGACGGAGUUUAUUAAGAUGAACUUAUAGAUAAAUUUGAUAUUUAUGUAAAGUAUAUUAUAUUUAAUUAUAAUCAGUGGACAACAUUUGG